UCAAGAAGAAAAAGAAGAAGAGGAAGACGGAGCGCGGUAAAGAGAAAGAGACGAUAUUUUUGCUUGCCACAAAGAUACCGUGAUCCAACCCGCGAUGGAUGAUGGACCGUCGUCCGCCGUCAUCGGGUGAGCGCACAAAACGGGAGCACACGGAGUACAGAAGAGACGCCGCGCGCGGAAAAACAAACAUUCAAGAGGCGAAACGAGCCGGGUGGAGCAUCAAUUAAGGUGCUCGCCGUCC
ensembl:ncRNA C33B4.7 ncRNA